rnacentral:rRNA from 1 species
UGGGGAAUAUUGGACAAUGGGCGAAAGCCUGAUCCAGCCAUGCCGCGUGUGUGAAGAAGGUCUUCGGAUUGUAAAGCACUUUAAGUUGGGAGGAAGGGCAUUAACCUAAUACGUUAGUGUUUUGACGUUACCGACAGAAUAAGCACCGGCUAACUCUGUGCCAGCAGCCGCGGUAAUACAGAGGGUGCAAGCGUUAAUCGGAAUUACUGGGCGUAAAGCGCGCGUAGGUGGUUUGUUAAGUUGGAUGUGAAAUCCCCGGGCUCAACCUGGGAACUGCAUUCAAAACUGACUGACUAGAGUAUGGUAGAGGGUUGUGGAAUUUCCUGUGUAGCGGUGAAAUGCGUAGAUAUAGGAAGUAACACCAGUGGCGAAGGCGACCACCUGGACUAAUACUGACACUGAGGUGCGAAAGCGUGGGGAGCAAACA